rnacentral:rRNA from 1 species
GAUGAACGCUGGCGGCGUGCCUAAUACAUGCAAGUCGAGCGAACGGACGAGAAGCGUGCUUCUCUGAUGUUAGCGGCGGACGGGUGAGUAACACGUGCAUAACCUACCUAUAAGACUGGGAUAACUUCGGGAAACCGGAGCUAAUACCGGAUAAUAUUUUGAACCGCAUGGUUCAAAAGUGAAAGACGGUCUUGCUGUCACUUAUAGAUGGAUCCGCGCUGCAUUAGCUAGUUGGUAAGGUAACGGCUUACCAAGGCAACGAUGCAUAGCCGACCUGAGAGGGUGAUCGGCCACACUGGAACUGAGACACGGUCCAGACUCCUACGGGAGGCAGCAGUAGGGAAUCUUCCGCAAUGGGCGCAAGCCUGACGGAGCAACGCCGCGUGAGUGAUGAAGGUCUUCGGAUCGUAAAACUCUGUUAUUAGGGAAGAAAAUAUGUGUAAGUAACUGUGCACAUCUUGACGGUACCUAAUCAGAAAGCCACGGCUAACUUCGUG